rnacentral:rRNA from 1 species
UACGUAGGGUGCAAACGUUGUCCGGAAUUACUGGGUGUAAAGGGUGCACAGGCGGUUUUGUGCGUCAGAGGUUAAAUGCCACGGCUCAACUGUGGACCUGCCUUUGAUACGGCAAGACUUGAGUGGAAGAGAGGAUGAUAGAACUCCUGGAGUAGCGGUGAAAUGCGUAGAUAUCAGGAAGAAUACCAUUUGCGAAGGCGGUCAUCCGGCUUUCAACUGACGCUUAAGCACGAAAGCGUGGGUAGCGAACAGG